GAUGAACGCUGGCGGCGUGCCUAAAACAUGCAAGUCGAGCGGCAGCGAGUUCCUCGCUAAUGUUCGGAUUUGUUUACCAAUGAUGCAAGUAAUUUAGUCAGAGUAACAAAGUAACGACUAGUUGUUUAAGUUAAAAGGUAGAUUUAAUAUUCCGGAUAUGAGCGAGGAAUGUCGGCGAGCGGCGGACGGCUGAGUAGCGCGUAGGAACAUACCCCAAAGUGAGGCAUAACCGCCCGAAAGGGUGGCUAAUACCGCAUAUUGUCUUCGGAUGAAAGCUUUUAGCGCUUUGGGAAUGGCCUGCGUUUGAUUAGCUAGUUGGUGAGGUAAGGGCUUACCAAGGCGAUGAUCAAUAGCUGGUUUGAGAGAAUGAUCAGCCAGACUGGAACUGAGACACGGUCCAGACUCCUACGGGAGGCAGCAGUUGGGAAUUUUCCACAAUGGGCGAAAGCCUGAUGGAGCAACGCCGCGUGCAGGAAGAAUGCCUUCGGUUGUAAA
rnacentral:rRNA from 1 species